GAUGAACGCUGGCGGCGUGCUUAACACAUGCAAGUCGAACGGGAAUUACUUUAUUGAAACUUCGGUCGAUAUGAUUUAAUUCUAGUGGCGGACGGGUGAGUAACGCGUGGGUAACCUGCCUUGUACAGGGGGAUAACAGUCAGAAAUGACUGCUAAUACCGCAUAAGCGCACAGAGCUGCAUGGCUCGGUGUGAAAAACUCCGGUGGUAUAAGAUGGACCCGCGUUGGAUUAGCUAGUUGGUGAGGUAACGGCCCACCAAGGCGACGAUCCAUAGCCGGCCUGAGAGGGUGAACGGCCACAUUGGGACUGAGACACGGCCCAGACUCCUACGGGAGGCAGCAGUGGGGAAUAUUGCACAAUGGGGGAAACCCUGAUGCAGCGACGCCGCGUGAAGGAAGAAGUAUCUCGGUAUGUAAACUUCUAUCAGCAGGGAAGAAAAUGACGGUACCUGACUAAGAAGC
rnacentral:rRNA from 1 species